rnacentral:misc_RNA from 1 species
UAUUAUUUAUUUUAGGAAAAUUCAGUUGAUAUCACAAAAUAAAAGUGUCGUCAUAACCAAUUGAACAAAAUGGCAACUUCUCUAAUGUUACUAUAAAUUAACAAAGUAUUUGAAAACCAAUCCCAUUUAAUUUGUGUUUGAUUAGAAAUCAAAAUAAUAUGCAUAUAAUUAAUGAGUCGUAACAGUUUAUUUUAUUUUAUUUUCCUUUAAAUUUCUCAGUUAUUAAUUUCCAAGUUAAUUAUAGUUGUUGGAUAUUGG